CUGCAUGAAAUUAACUAGUGAAAUCGCGAGGAAGGAAGUCGACUCCUAAAUGUGCCACUUGCACUUCUAUUUAUCCAGAAACCUUCAGAUUGUGGGGUUGAAUCCAGUAGCUGUAAUUGUCCUGUUUUUGUCAAAGCUGUAUCCAGCAAGUCGGCCUUGACCUGCAUUUCGCAAUAUGGAUAUAUCAGAACAUAAAGAGGCACCUUCUGUGAUUGACCGAUAUUACACACGUUGGUAUAGAACAGAUAUGAAAGGAAAAGCAUGUGAGGACUUCUGCAUCUUACAGCACUCCAACAGAAUUUGUGUGAUCACCCUUGCUGAGACACACCCUAUCCUUCAGAAUGGCCGUUCAAUUAAAAGCAUCAAUUACCAGAUAAGUGCUGGCUGCAGUCGAUUGAACAAUAAAGUGUCUGGAAAGUCAAAGCGAGGAGGCCAGUUUCUCACAGAAUAUGCACCACUCUGUAGAAUCACCUGCACUGAUGGAGUAGAGUACACCAUUUUCAGCUGCAUCAGAGGCCGUCUGGUGGAAGUAAAUGAAGACAUUCUGACAAGACCAAACCUCUUGCUGGAAAAGCCCUCAACCGAAGGCUACAUCGCCGUAAUCCUGCCAAAAUUCGAGGAGAGCAAAAGUAUUACGGAAGGUCUGCAGAGCAGAGAGCAAUACGAAGAGGUCAUCUCCAAACGAACCAAUCAGCAACCAGAGCCAUGCUGAGGAGGCGCUGGUGUGGUGAACUGGCCAGCCAGUGGACUGGCGUACUGCCUUAGAGAGUGACCAGCACUGAGAUCUUCAACUGUUCACAGGGCUUAUACUGUGCUGGAAUUCAGGCUCAUUAAAGAUGUCCAGCAUGCCAGGGGCUCCAAGACAUCAUGCAUUUAAGAACUGGGAAUGGAUCAAAGAUGCCAUGUAUGAGACAAGACGCAUAGGCUUGGGAAUUUCCCUUCUUGGUUAGCAAUUAGCACACACUGAAAACUACUGCACUGUGCCUUCAAACAUAGUUAUGCAUUUCAGUAGUGAAGUUUCUUUUUUUUAUGAUUAAUUUAAAAGCUUGUAAAAGUUCAUUAGGAUACAAACAAACAAGACAACAAACUGUUCAAGAAUAUGCUGUUUGAUAAGACAUCCUUGACAGGUAAAAACGCUUUUGUUUUCUUUUCUUUAUAACAUUUGAAAACUGUGAUAAAGGUUGUCAAAGAUAAAAGCUUGUGUUCACUCAAAAUAGUUGUCAUGUUCAGACUUAGAGUAUUGUACGUUUUCAUUCUUAGCUCAUCCAAGGCAGGUGAUAU